UCGAGCGAACUUUUGGGAGCUUGCUCCCAAAGUUAGCGGCGGACGGGUGAGUAACACGUGGGCAACCUGCCUAUAAGACUGGGAUAACUUCGGGAACCGGAGCUAAUACCGGAUAACAUAUGAGACCACAUGGUCUCAUAUUAAAAGAUGGCUUUUAGCUAUCACUUAUAGAUGGGCCCGCGGCGCAUUAGCUAGUUGGUGAGGUAAUGGCUCACCAAGGCGACGAUGCGUAGCCGACCUGAGAGGGUGAUCGGCCACACUGGGACUGAGACACGGCCCAGACUCCUACGGGAGGCAGCAGUAGGGAAUCUUCCGCAAUGGACGAAAGUCUGACGGAGCAACGCCGCGUGAGCGAAGAAGGUCUUCGGAUCGUAAAGCUCUGUUGUUAGGGAAGAACAAGUACCGUUCAAAUAGGGCGGUACCUUGACGGUACCUAACCAGAAAGCCACGGCUAACUACGUGCCAGCAGCCGCGGUAAUACGUAGGUGGCAAGCGUUAUCCGGAAUUAUUGGGCGUAAAGCGCGCGCAGGCGGUCCUUUAAGUCUGAUGUGAAAGCCCACGGCUCAACCGUGGAGGGUCAUUGGAAACUGGGGGACUUGAGUGCAGAAGAGGAGAGCGGAAUUCCACGUGUAGCGGUGAAAUGCGUAGAGAUGUGGAGGAACACCAGUGGCGAAGGCGGCUCUCUGGUCUGUAACUGACGCUGAGGCGCGAAAGCGUGGGGAGCGAACAGGAUUAGAUACCCUGGUAGUCCACGCCGUACACGAUGAGUGCUAAGUGUUAGAGGGUCUCCGCCCUUUAGUGCUGCAGCAUACGCAUUAAGCACUCCGCCUGGGGAGUACGGUCGCAAGACUGAACUCAAG
rnacentral:rRNA from 1 species